CUUGGUCCAAAAUCAUUUCUUUUACACGGGAAUUUUGGGUCGAUCUGAGAGGAUUUCGUUUCCUUCAGUGCUACGGACAAGAGAACAAGCACCCGGUAGAUGAAGAUAUCUAUGACCAAGCAAGAGUCGGAAAUGCGCGAGGAUGACUGAACAGAAGUUGCUAGUCCAGAAGGCAAAGCCUGGGCUGGUCGCGAGGCAGCAACUGAAUCCCCAGAGCCUCUAUGCAAGAAGAGAAGGAAAAGGAUCAAUGAGAGACUGAAGACGCAGAAGACCCUAAUAUUAU